ensembl:lncRNA
UUGACUUGCAGUGAAUGCUGUGGCCCUGCGGCAGCAGUAUGGGUCUUUGUUCUCUCUGGCUUUGACUGAAUUGCCUUGUAAUUUAGGAAUUACAUUUAAUCUAAAGUUUAUUUUUAUUAGGCACAAAAGUCAGAGUCAAAAGGAAGUGGUCGGAAGAAGAGGUUGGGGCAGUUGAAAAGCAUAUGAUGCAUUUCAUACGCAGCUGUCGAGUUCCUAGGAAGACAAACUGUUUCUCAUGCCUGUUGGCUGAACCUGAGGCACUGAAAAACAGAGACUGGUCUAUGGAGUCAAUAUAAUGGAACAUAUAUAUGCAAGUUUUGCAAAAAAAAAAAGUUUUUAAAAAAAUUAUAAAAAAAAAGUUUUGCAAACAAAAAUAAAUUUUGCAAGAUAAAAAAUAAGGUCUUGAGCAAAAAAAAGUUUUGCAAACAGAAAUAAAUAAUUGCACAAAUUAAGAUAUAAUUCACUGCGAAAAUAAAUGACAGUUGUAAAAGAAGCUUAUGAACUUUGAUUCUAUUUUUAUCUCUGCAACACAUAUUUUCCAUGCUAACUCCUGCUAAUUCAUUUGCAACGCUCCAUUUAUUUUGCGUUUCAGUCAAGCAUGAGCUCGCGAUACCGUUUUCCCUUUGCGCUUCACUUUUCUGAGUGUUUCACUUCAUGGCAAGAACUCAAGAAACUGGGGCGUGUUCAGUGGGCCUGGGCACGCCCCCUCCCCGUGAAGCCACGUCAUUAGCUGGAGACGUAGAUUCGCAACAGGUUCGAAAGUCAACAUGGCAGAGCACAGGCCCGCGGGUGGAUUCCAGGUCAGUGGGCACAAUGAUGACACCAGGGUUGAAUUGGGGCGUUUGGUGAUGGAGAGACUGCUGUCCAAACUGCAGUAUGCAGUGAGUCGGCAGCCACUAGACUUGGAUUACUGGCAAUCUAUUUGCAGUCAUGAACUUACAGUAGGUGGCCAUCCAAAACGUUGCUUGUACCGCCGCCGUGGCGUCUGCAAAGUGCAUUUGCAGCUUUUGACCGCUGAGUGGCGCUUUAAUCACAAGUUAUCAAACAAGCGCAUCAAAGCACAUUUUCGCAAAUAGACGUCAGCUUUGCCUCGCUAAUGUGUUACAUUUGACGGCUGCAGUCAGGGAAAAUGAAAGAAAAACACUAUAGUUAAAAUAUUUAAUAUUCACAGAUGAAAGUUUGGUACUUAUGAAGUUAUGUGCAUUUCUUAGAACGAAUUCAAGCAGGAUAAAUGUCAAGCCUGUGCCUGUGCUUAUAUUUUCUCUAAGCUGCACAGUAUUAUACAAUAUUUUAGAUUUGACACAUUUAAUAGGUGUGCAGUAUUAUUUAUAUAAUAUGAAUUAUGUGUUAUAUUAUUCAAAAUAAAUUGUAGUUUACUUUGCA